UGGGGAAUAUUGGACAAUGGGGGCAACCCUGAUCCAGCAAUACCGCGUGAGUGAAGAAGGCCUUCGGGUUGUAAAGCUCUUUUACCGGGGAAGAUAAUGACGGUACCCGGGGAAUAAGCUCCGGCUAACUUCGUGCCAGCAGCCGCGGUAAUACGAAGGGAGCUAGCGUUGUUCGGAAUUACUGGGCGUAAAGGGCGCGUAGGCGGUUUUGUAAGUCAGAUGUGAAAGCCCCGGGCUUAACCUGGGAACUGCAUUUGAGACUGCAAGACUAGAGAUCGAGAGAGGAAAGUGGAAUUACGAGUGUAGAAGUGAAAUUCGUAGAUAUUCGUAGGAACACCGGUGGCGAAGGCGACUUUCUGGCUCGACCCUGACGCUAAAGCGCAAAAGCGUGGGGAGCAAACA
rnacentral:rRNA from 1 species